AAUCAACGCUGGCGGCGUGCCUCAGACAUGCAAGUCGAACGCGAAAUUUCCCUUCGGGGAGAAAGUAGAGUGGCGCACGGGUGAGUAACACGUAGGUAAUUUGCCUUUGGGUGGGGAAUAACUCAGGGAAACUUGAGCUAAUACCGCAUAAUGCAGCGGCUCGACAUCGAGACAGUUGUUAAAGCGGGGGAUUGGAGCAAUCCGACCUCGCGCCUAAAGAGAAGCCUGCGGCAGAUUAGCUAGUUGGUAAGGUAAUGGCUUACCAAGGCGACGAUCUGUAACCGGCCUGAGAGGGCGGUCGGUCACACUGACACUGACAUACGGGUCAGACUCCUACGGGAGGCAGCAGUCGGGAAUUUUGGGCAAUGGGCGCAAGCCUGACCCAGCAACGCCGCGUGAAGGAUGAAAUUUUCCGGAAUGUAAACUUCGCAAGAACAGGAAGAAUAAGUGUGGGACAAUACCCCACAUGAUGACGGUACUGUUUGUAAGCUCCGGCUAACU
rnacentral:rRNA from 1 species